CGCAGGCAGGCAGGCAGACACACACAGGCACACAACUGUACAGUUCAGGCUACUGGAUACAUGUGUGUGUGUCUCAUACACAGACAAAUAUACAGCUCAAGCUAUGGCAUCUCUCACACACACGCUUUAAGAUGCAUUAUGAGGAUUUUCACUGGAAUUCAAAACGCAGAUACAUCUACCAGAGACACCUACCAGGGACAUCAGCAUCUACCAGAGGCACCUACCAGGAACAUCUACAUGUACCAGAGACAUCUACAUCUACCAGUGACCUCUACCUCUACCAGAGACACCUACCAGGAACAUCUACAUCUACCAGAGAUACCUACCAGGAACAUCUACAUCUACCAGAGAUACCUACCAGGAACAUCUACAUCUACCAGGGACAUCUACCAGAGACACCUACCUCUACCAGAGACACCUACCAGGGACAUCUACACCUACCAGUGACCUCUACCAGAGACACCUAUGUGAAUGUGCUCACUCAGUCAAAUGACAUUAAUUUUGUUUUUAACAGUGAACCACUCACUUGCUAAAGGCUUUACCAGAUAAAGGCUGUUCCAAUCACCUGUGGCUCCACCCGAAGUUAGGACAUGCAAGUGAAGCUAUGUUUCACAUCCUUGAGUCUAAAGAAGAUCCAAACACCUUUCUUCAGACGAGACCACUCUUCAGCCCCGUCAUCAUUGUCUGCGAAACCAAUUGCUUACUGGCUACUGGAACCAUGCCUGUGGUAACCUUCCCGAAAGAGGACAUCUAUGCUAGCGUGAUGUAUCUCGUGGCAUGUUAUUGUGCCUUUCACCUCACAUAUCCUAAUUAGCACUGUUUAGAUUGGUUAUCUUGCCAUAGAUCUUAAUUUUCGUUUAUUUCCCCACUGAUGGCCACUAUGUUGGUUAUGCUACAUUCUGAAUGUUAAUUUGUGGGUUUGUUUUAAUGUUUUCUGGCAUCUGAAACUACUGAGAGCCUAUAGAACCAGGCAAGAUAUUAUAAAACUGUACAGGUGAUGUACAAAGCCAUGGCCUUGUGUUGUUUUGUUGCAUUCUUUGUUUUACUCAUAUGCAGCUCCUGGAGUUCAUAAUAAAGAGGUGACAAAAAAUGCAUUGAAAUGUAUUUCUUUA